rnacentral:pre_miRNA from 1 species
AGUAAAAUUGCUGGGUGGUGUGAUAGAAGUAUGUUUCGUUUUCUAAGAAACUGCCAAUAUGUCUUCCAAAGCAACUGUACCAUUUUGCUUUCUCACCAGCAUU